GACCUCCAUCGUCACCACCACUACCUCCACCACCCCUACCACCUCCACCAUCACCACCACUACUUCCACCACCACCACCUCCACCAUCACCACCACUACUUCCACCACCACCACCACCACCUCCACCACCACCACCUCCACCAUCACCACCACCACCAUCAGCACCACCACUACCUCCACCAUCACCAACACCACUUCAUCACCACCACCACCACCAUCACCACUACCUCCACUAUCACUACCAUCAUUACCACCACCACCACCACCAUCACCACCACCACCUGUACCACAAUCACCACCAUCUUGCUGAUUGGUCUUCAUCCAACAGAAGGCAUGUUGAUUUUUCUCUCAAGGCCUCACAUUAAGAGACUCAGAGAAUGACCUGUGAUAUGAUAUAAUUUCAGGGCUGGGUGACUAAGUCUGAGCCAGAUGCAGGUGCAUCAGUAAAGAUCAUAUGCUCUACAGAAAGGGAGAUGACCUCACAGAUGCAGAGAGAAGCUAAGACUCACAGCGGCUACGACCUCAGAAAGGAAAAGAAUGUUGUGGUUCUUGGUUCCUGAUAGGCCCCUCAAGGCUGAACCUCCUCACAUGUUGGAGCUUUAAAGAUACAGCUGUAUCAGGCCAGGCGUGGUGACUCAUGCCUGUAAUCCCAGCACUUUGGGAGACCGAGGAGGGCGAUCGAGACCAUCCUGACUAACAUGGUGAAACCCCAUCUCUUCUAAAAAUACAAAAAAUUAGCCAGACUUGGUGGUGUACGCCUGUAGUCCCAGCUACUCAGGGGGCUGAGGCAGGAGAAUCGCUUGAACCCAGGAGGUGGAGGUUGCAGUGAGCUGAGAUCGCGCCACUGCACUCCAGCUUGGGCGACAGAGCGAGACUCCAUCUAAAAAAUACAGCUGUAUCAAAUCUGCUUGUGCUUUGGCCAUCUGAGAGAUCUUAAGUGUGCAAUGCAAUGAGGAUGGAGCAACGUAUACACCAAUCAAGAGAAAGAACAUGUCCAUUACCCCAAAAAGUUCUCUUACACCCGCUUCCAGGCUAGAGUGCAGUGGUAGGAUCUCGGCUCACUGCAGCAUUGACCUCCUGGGCUCAAGCUAUCCUCCCACCUCAGCCUUCUGAGUAGCUGGGACCGCAGAGGUGCAUCACCAUACUCGGCUAAGUUUUGCAACUGAUCCUGAGCACACGUCUCCAUGGCGGCAGGAGUCAUUGCUUUUUAGAUCACGUUCUCCGAGCAAGAGCCGAGAAAUCGAUAUCUCUCACAAGGCUGUAGACGUGCUGGAACUGAUUAGUCAUUAACCUAUUGUCACUCCUCCCAGCGCUCAUGGAAGGAGUUGCAGCAUGUCAAUGGAUUUUAAAAGAGUACCAGGAUUAAACUUCUCCAUGGCAGUGGGCAUUUGUGAAAGGUCUGUUCUGAAAUACCAGUACCAUCUUCUCACAUGUUAAGGGCCAAAAAUCUCAGUAAGUCACUCCAAAUCAGGUUUUACAGAUGAUUUUUUGAAAUAUUGAUUCUGGUAUUGUCCCUGAAAAUUUAAUUUAUCAAAUAAGCCAAUUAAGAAGCGUCUUUUAAAGGCACGUAGGGACCAUUCAGCACUGGAUGGACAAGAAAAUGAACAUAUUAAUCUUACAGUCAGCAACGUUUUGUUGAUGCUUUGGAAACUGAACUGCAAAGGAGUACUUAAAUGAACUGAAAGAGUUAAUUUGACUUCUAAGAGCCAUAAACUGGCUUGGGUUGGGUGGAUUCUGUAUUCCCAGACUCUGG
rnacentral:lncRNA from 1 species